CAAGUUGAUAAUUGUCUCUUCUCUGCUAAUUUUAAUGUGCAUGCAAUAUUCACUCUGAUUUACUUGUGAGACCACCGACACUAAUAAUAAUUACCUACAAAAUAAUAGGUGCUCCUUCACUGGGAAGGGCAUUUCGGAUCUGAUCAAUUUAUUGGUUCCAUUCCCCCAUUCUACACUUCUCCUCAGAAAAAAUGCCUUGCAAUGCGUCAUAUUUAUCUGGACUACUAACUUACUUCCAUAUAACUUCGAAAACAGACAAUAAUCUAUUUCAUUGGAUGAGAUUGGGCUCACGGAUUUUUUAAUGGAUUGGACAAGAAAUAUAGAAAAAUAAUGAAAAAUAUAAACAGUUACAAUAGAAAUGAGCGCAAAACAAGAUAAACAGAAUACAACAAGGCCUAAAUGGUCAGAUAUCUUGGUUUUUAUGAUCAUCAACAGGUCCUGCAGGUCUAUACUGAAGAGGAAUUUUAAUUGUUAAUACUUUUUUACAUAAUGUGCUAAUUGGAUUACUAAUGUGAAAUGAACUCAACUGUGUGUUUUUCUGGAAAAAGAAAUAGAAAAAAAUCCUACAAAAUUGCUAUAAACAAAAUGGAGUACUAUCAAAGAACACAAUUGUGUAAAAUGUAACAACCUACAUUCAUAUUCACUGAUGGAUUAUGGAGAAAUUAACAAAAAUAAUAGUGUCUUUGUCAUGUUUGUUGUCGAAAUAAACACCUGCUUUAUCCAUUCAUGUACAUGGCUCCAUCAUAUCAAAUAUACAAAGAAGAUGU